GCCGGUGUAGCUCAGCGGUAGAGCGGCUCUCUCGUAAAGAGCAGGUCACAGGUUCGAAUCCUGUCACCGGCU
rnacentral:tRNA from 1 species